CGCUAAGAUGUAUGCCUCCAAGUUUGGAGUUGAUGAGGCGAAGAUGAUGGAGAGGCUUUGGGGUGAGAACUUCUUUGACCCAGCCACAAAGAAAUGGACCUCCAAGAACACUGGGACAGCUACCUGCAAGAGAGGUUUUGUUCAGUUCUGCUACGAGCCAAUCAAGCAAAUCAUCGCCACCUGCAUGAAUGAUCAGAAGGAUAAGUUGUGGCCUAUGUUGAAGAAGCUGGGUGUGACCAUGAAGAAUGAUGAGAAGGACUUGAUGGGCAAGGCUCUCAUGAAGCGUGUGAUGCAAACUUGGCUGCCUGCCAGUCGUGCUCUGCUUGAGAUGAUGAUAUUUCACCUUCCCUCUCCCUCAAAGGCACAGAGGUAUCGUGUGGAGAACUUGUACGAGGGUCCCCUUGAUGAUAUAUAUGCUAAUGCUAUCAGAAACUGUGACCCUGAUGGUCCUCUUAUGCUGUAUGUCUCCAAGAUGAUUCCAGCAUCUGACAAGGGUAGGUUCUUUGCCUUUGGACGUGUUUUUGCCGGGAGGGUUGCAACUGGUAUGAAGGUCCGUAUCAUGGGUCCCAACUUUGUUCCUGGCCAGAAGAAGGAUCUGUAUGUGAAGAGUGUCCAGCGUACUGUUAUCUGGAUGGGAAAGAAGCAAGAGUCUGUUGAGGAUGUUCCCUGUGGUAACACUGUUGCUUUGGUUGGUUUGGAUCAGUUCAUCACCAAGAAUGCAACCCUGACAAAUGAGAAGGAAGUUGAUGCCUGCCCAAUCAGGGCAAUGAAGUUCUCUGUGUCCCCUGUUGUGCGUGUUGCCGUUCAGUGCAAGGUGGCAUCUGAUCUUCCUAAGCUUGUUGAGGGUUUGAAGCGGCUGGCGAAGUCUGACCCUAUGGUUCUCUGUAGCAUUGAAGAGUCUGGUGAGCAUAUCAUUGCUGGAGCUGGAGAGCUUCACCUUGAAAUCUGUUUGAAGGAUCUGCAGGAGGACUUCAUGGGUGGUGCUGAAAUUAUUGUUUCCCCUCCCGUCGUCUCCUUCCGUGAGACUGUUCUUGAGAAGUCCUGUCGCACUGUCAUGAGCAAGUCCCCCAACAAGCAUAACCGUCUUUACAUGGAAGCUCGCCCAUUGGAGGAGGGAUUGGCUGAGGCUAUUGAUGAUGGCCGCAUUGGCCCGCGUGAUGAUCCUAAGGUUCGCUCCAAGAUCCUGUCUGAGGAGUUUGGGUGGGACAAGGAUCUCGCCAAGAAGAUUUGGUGCUUUGGACCUGAGACGACUGGCCCCAACAUGGUUGUUGACAUGUGUAAGGGAGUGCAGUAUCUGAAUGAAAUCAAGGACUCUGUUGUGGCUGGGUUCCAAUGGGCAUCGAAAGAAGGUGCUCUGGCUGAGGAGAACAUGCGUGGCAUUUGCUUUGAGGUCUGUGAUGUUGUUCUGCACACUGAUGCUAUUCACAGGGGUGGUGGUCAGGUCAUCCCAACAGCCAGGAGGGUCAUUUACGCUUCUCAGCUCACUGCCAAGCCAAGGCUGCUGGAGCCUGUGUACCUGGUUGAGAUCCAGGCCCCGGAGAAUGCACUUGGCGGUAUCUAUGGUGUUCUGAAUCAGAAGAGAGGGCACGUGUUUGAGGAGAUGCAGAGGCCUGGUACCCCGCUGUACAACAUCAAGGCUUACCUCCCGGUCAUCGAGUCGUUUGGGUUCUCAAGUACCCUCAGGGCGGCGACAUCUGGCCAGGCUUUCCCCCAGUGUGUGUUCGACCAUUGGGACAUCAUGUCUUCUGAUCCUUUGGAGGCCGGCUCCCAGUCCGCGACCCUUGUCACAGAGAUCCGCAAGCGCAAGGGUCUCAAGGAACAGAUGACCCCUCUAUCUGAUUUCGAGGACAAGCUCUAAACUUUUGCUUCUGUUACAUGGUCUAGUUUGCUUUUGCUGCUAAGAGAGCUGCACUAUUAUCUGUCUAUUGAGUCGUCGUCGCUGUAUUGCUAUUGGAAUGUACUCCUAUCUGUCGUGAUACUGGCACUUUGUUUUGAUGUCUGUCGAUGUUAAAACUUAGAUUAUAUAUCUGUCGCGAUACUUUUGAUGUCUAUCAAUGUUAAAACUUAGACUAUAUAUCUGUUAUGGUAGUUCUUGUUGAUGUCUUGUUUGCUUUUGUGUUAGAUCUUGAGAUCUCUGCCUGGUUCUUUAUUUUGCUCUAGUCUUGCUCUAUAUUUUUAAUGAUCUUGAGAGCUCCUCUACUUGCAGUAUUUCUUCCUGCUCUUAUCAUCAUUUUACCUUCCAUGUUUUAUGCCCAUCAAAAUGUGUUCCAUCUUCUGUCAGUUGUAUUUCAAUCUAUGCUGUACUUGUUUUUCUCCAUUUUCACGAGACACGCACUGAUGAUGAGAAAUUGCUCCCUAGUGCUAGAUACAUCUGUUGAGCAAACAACAUUUCAGACGGAGGAUGUAGUACAUUAGAGGAACUUGCCGAGAGAAUAUACUGUAGUAGAAGCAUCUGUUAAUGCCGAGAGUAUCCGAACUUGUAUCUCUUCGGAAUACUACAGAUUGAACCUUUGUAGGCAUGAAAGAAUAUUCACAUAAUUUUCAUGCUCAGUAACUCUCUUACUCCACGGUCAUAGCAAUAUUGAGUUCUGAAGUUGUUCAUGGUAAAUUCUGGCAUAUAAUUGAUUUGUCUGCUAUUUCUUUACUGUUACUGGAUGCAAUGUACUGAGUAGUUGUACACGGGCUCUAUGUAAUUAUGACACUUGCAAAUAAGCUUCAACCUUUUAAUUUUUGCUGAAACAUAGGCAUGCCAUUUAAUGACUUGUUUUCAUGACCAACUUUGCCACAAUUAAGCUUAGGCAAAGAGUGGCUAACAAAAUGUUUACUACAAGUGUGGCAAGAUUUGGCAAAAAAUUUGAGCCUAUGACAUGUGGAUCAUAUAGCUAGAAAAGUGUGGCAGCUAAGUGUGGCAAUAAACUAAAUACAUGCCUAAGAUGUUGUGGCACGACUAAGGUUAGACGCGGAAACCUUACGCUGCAAAUCAAACAUACCUUAACUAAAAUAAAGUGAUCUCAGGUUUCUUAAUUUGGACACGAUGUUCAUAAAUACAAAUAAUACUCUCUCCGUAUCUAAUACUAAAACGUGACUUGAUACAUCCGUAUUUAGACAAAUCUAAGACAAGAAUUUUGGGACGGGGGAGUAGAUGAUUGGCUUUGGUCAGUGUGUUCUGGCCGCUUUAUGGAUGCUUACUUUUAUCUUUUAUGAAAUUUCAAUACUUUUCAAAAGACAAGACAGACUUUUAAUUGCCAACAAAAAUAGUACGGGAAAAUAGGGCUGAGGCUCGUCCAUCAAAUUCUCCGCUAAAAGGGAAAAUAUAAAGUGGCGGAGCUAACAAUAAUUUUGAUUGAUUGCAUUCAUCUUUGGAUGAAAGCUUAGUUUGAGCAUGAUUCUCCAAAAAUAUUACCUAAAUGAUAAGCUUAAAAUCCGUAGCCUCCUAUUCACCAUCUCUAGUCAAUCAUGUCGAUCAUUUCAAUGGAUAUUAGAGUUAUGGAUCUUUAUUACGGCUUACCGCCUAAAGAGAAUAAGGUCGAUGCCGGGAAAUCCACCGGUGGUGCCCCUAUGGUACAUGGUGAGCUUCCCGUCACCACACAACUGUUGCCUUGACCAUGGUGGACUUUACGUUAAUGUUGGAUUUUUAAGUCCGCCAUGAUAAAAGAAGUUCAUUCCAUUUUCAAGGAAGAGGUGGGCUCGAAAGUCAAAGCCUCUACAUCCGCACAAUCCUCAUUUGCUCCAAGUGAGGUUCGUGAUGUGGACGAUGUAAGAGAACAUCUUGCUCUCCCCGAACCUACAAUUGCACCCCUCGCAAUUCCAUAGAGUGCCACUACACACUAUGACCUAUCCAACAUCCGGAUAUUAAUCAUGUUGGGCCUCCGCCCCCUUUGAAAGCUAACACAUUUUCUAAGCGGAAACUCACUCUGGAGUCUCACAUUUACAGUGCCUCUACACAACUCUCAUGGGUGAUUGCGAAUGGUUUCAAGCCCAAGGACCCAUCAAGCCUUACACCAAGGGAAGCCGUUGAUGAUCGAUUCAUUACCACCGCCUUCAACAUGCUCCGGCUUGCCACCACCGAUGAGUAUGCCAAUUCCAUUGCUAUCUUCAAGCCCCCCAAAGAAAUUUGAGAUUGCAUUGAGGAUAUAUUUGAAGGACAUGACAAUGUUCAGAGAUCUAGGUUGGUCAUUGUUCGUCAAUUUGUCCAUAAGGAAUGUGAGAGAGACCACUGAAGAGGUGUUCUGGAGAUUGAAGUCACUUGUGUUGGAUUCGAGAAACUUUUGGAGCCAUGGUCUUUACGAAUCAUACUAUGAUCAUGAUGAUCCACCAACAUCCCGACUAUGACCGAAUGACUCCCAAUCGAGUUGUGUCUUCUUUUGGAGAUCAAGUCCAAGAACACAAUGGCGAUUGAUCAAGAAAUAAAGAACUCCAAUCUAGCGCUAAAGGCCAAGAAGGUGGUCGGAUGUGCUACGAGAGAAGAAGUUGAUACCUCGUGUCAGGUUGACUUUGAGGAAGACUUGACCCUCUAGGUCAAGAAAUAUUCGGGCACAAAAGCAAAGAAAAGGGGAAGCAUCUUAAGGGAACAUCCUUUGGGAGAAGAACGUGCCACAAUCUUAUUAAUGUUACAUGGAGAAGAUUUCGUUUUGCGAUUGACUUCUCUCUCGCGCCAUCCGCCUCGCGAGCCGUCCGAUCAAGGUUGAUCGUGCUGCACUCAUCGUAUGUCACCCGUCCACCUGGGGCCCAUGCACCACCGUCCGCAUUAUAUCCAGCGCAACAACGAGAGCCACUCGCUCCCCCCCACAUGAGUGAGAUCCCCAUUUUUCCUCUUCAUAUUUGAAUCCCUCUUUGCACGGCCCCGUCGGAGCAGUCGCAAGCGGCAUGUAGCACCUGACGGGGAACCUGCUGCACCCUAGCAGCCGGCGACCCACAGCACCCGCGUCGGCGUUGCCCAGCAUCGUCGACCGUUCCCGUGCCCUAUGUUGCCGAGCAUCGUUGGCCGUUGCUGCGGUCGGUGUUGCCGAGCACGUCUGCGCUCAGCUCUCAUCUUCUUUUUUUUUUGAGGCACGCUCAGCUCUCAUCUGAAAUUCUCACCACGCCUGGACAUCAUCCCUUUCGGCCCGACUCCACAGUGGACAACAGACAGGCCAGCUUCACUUGCGGGCCGCAUUUCGCGUGGCCGGCCUUCCCCCUCCGCUCCGCGCGCAUCUUGGCCCGCACGGAACCAACAAAAUAGCAUAUAUAACGGCCAGCAAAUGCGACCUAGAGAGUCCUCACUUCCUUGAACCCUUUCCAUUCUCACGGAUCGGGAGCGCCGCCGCUUCCCCACCUCUCGUCUCUCGGCGAACCCCCAAGGUGAGCCGAACCUCCCCUCCCGCCUCCUCCCCCGCGCCCUCCGGCUGCUUCUCCGGCUGCUCCGUCGGCGGGCGCGUCCCUGCUAGCUAGCUACUGGCUGCUACCUGGCCGACCGAUUUCACGGGCUCUAGUCCAGCCUCCUCGCUAGCUCGAUGCGGUCCAGUCCCCUUUGCUGGGUUCGUGGCCGCUGGGAUUAUUCCUAUGUGGUUUCGAUGCUCUUAGACGCGGUAGAUCUGCUGCUUCGUUCGUCCCGCUCGCUUGUUCCUGGCGACGACUUUGUGCUGACGUCACUAGAUAGAUAAGCUCGUCGCUUCCGAUGCGCUUCUGCGGUGGCUAAGGGUGUUUGCCCCGUCGUGUUUAGCGAGGAUCUGCCCGCUCCGCCGUGGUGGACGGCGAUCUGUUUUAUGUGGUGUUCCGUUAGCUUUUUUCGCCAUUUUUUGCUGCGCUGCUGUUCAUCCACGGGCUCUUAGCAUGCUCAAGCUGCAGGGUUUUGCUCACUCGGUUGCCUGCCUGCCGUACCCUGGUUGGUUUCGUUCUCUGUUCUCAUGUUCAGGGCGGAGGAAAUGGUGAUGCAUACCUUUGCUUGGCAUGUUUAAUUUAAUUUGAUUGUGUAUAUAGAACGGGAGACUCUUAUAGAAUGGUGUGUCAGUUCUUAUCUACUUAUAGUUGAGGUAUUAUGGGUGAAUUUAUCCCUCAUCUGUUUUAUUUGGUUAAAUUGAUCCUAUGUGACUAUCUUCUGGUGUUCUUCUCAGUGCUCCCCAUGCAUGGUUGGUUGCACCUAUUUCAGAGCUCAACAUUAUGACCUUCUGUGCAUCGCAUUGUUUCUAGUGUUUACAGUGGUAGUUACUACUACAUGAUAAUACAGUCAGCACGUGUGCAUAAAACUAAAACUACCUUCUGUCACAAAUCAACUUUGCAUAAAACUACGAUUCUGUUUCGAAUCUGAUUUGUUUUCUCCAUCCACAUAUGAUUGAUUCAUGAGAGAUGUUUCUAUGAUCCACAAAGUUAUACAGAUCUGUAGGUACUUGAAGGUUUAGCUAGUGAAAUCCAUUACCUGUUUGUGCUUCAUACUUGCGCACACUUCAGAUAAUGGACUGCUUUUCUUUCUUAUCUUUCUUACUGUUUUGUGCUUUCUUUCGCAUACUGUCAUGUCGAGUGCUCUAAAAAUUGGUUGCCAUUGUUGCUUUCUGGCUUCCUUUUGAACGCACUUUGGGCAAUUAAGUUUUCAGAACAUGGUCUUCAGUUCCCAUAAGUUAGUUUUAGUAUGCUUGGUUGACUGUAACACAUAUUUCAUUUUAGUGGGUGUGGUUGUGGAAGUGUUGGUUAAAGUAUUUUUGGUACUGUACUUGAAGCUAAUGUGUGCCCAACAGUAGUAAGAGCCUUCUGUUUAUUCAGUUGUGGUUUUAAUUACUUAAUUUUUGUUCCAUUCUGAACAGGAACUAUAUUCCCAGCGUGAUAUCCAAAACCAGUCAAGAUGGUGAAGUUUACUGCGGAGGAGCUCCGCGGAAUUAUGGACAAGAAAAAUAAUAUUCGUAACAUGUCUGUUAUUGCUCAUGUCGACCACGGUAUGUGCCUGAACAUACAGUUGUCUCUAAUUAUUGAGUUCAUACAGUAGAAUCUUUGUUAAUCAAUGUUUUCAGCCUCUUAAUUUUACUGUAUUUAAUUCUAAAUACUGAAACUAUUUAAAUGGGUCAAUUUAACAAGUGGAGCAUAAUUAGUUUCAUCCCUAAAACCAAUCCAUCUUAUUGUGUCCUGGAGUUUACUACCACUGCUUAUUAUAUGAUUGAUUUCUGCUUCACCAAUAUGACUGAUUUCUGCUUCACCAAGCUUAAAUGUUACUGUUGACAUACCAUCCCAGGGCUUAUAUCUCCCCAGUUUGGUGUAUUCUCACAUUGUCCCUGAAUGCAUUACACUUGUAGGAUCUGAAAUUUACAUGAUUGUACUUAGUUACUUCAAUAUUGAUGUCCUUAUAUUCUGUUUGCAAUGUCCCACUAGAUUUUGCUUAACCAUGUUGCUAAAAACCUUGUUGAGCUUAUUUGUACCUUCUUUUGUUUCCUGAUUGUUUGAAAGUACUGUACUGCUGUGUCCUACUUCUGCCUUAUAUGAGUUAACAUGUUCGAUUUUCUAUUCAUAUAGGUUGUGUUCAACUGUCAAACCAGAUGCUUGUGCACUGUUCUCACAUAUUAUUUACAUAUUUGCAGGCAAGUCUACGCUUACGGAUUCCCUUGUGGCAGCUGCUGGGAUUAUCGCCCAGGAAGUUGCUGGGGAUGUUCGCAUGACCGAUACCCGUGCAGAUGAGGCAGAGCGUGGUAUUACAAUCAAAUCCACGGGUAUCUCUCUUUUCUAUCAGAUGACUCCUGAAUCACUUGAGAUGUACAAGGGCGACAGGGAUGGAGAUGAAUACCUGAUCAACCUUAUUGAUUCACCUGGCCACGUUGACUUUUCUUCGGAAGUCACAGCUGCUCUUCGUAUCACUGAUGGUGCUUUGGUGGUUGUUGACUGUAUUGAGGGUGUCUGUGUGCAGACCGAAACUGUGCUGCGCCAAGCUCUUGGUGAGAGGAUUAGGCCCGUCCUCACCGUGAACAAGAUGGACAGAUGCUUCCUUGAGCUUCAGUUUGAAGGUGAGGAAGCAUAUCAGACUUUCUCCCGUGUCAUCGAAAAUGCCAAUGUCAUCAUGGCAACAUAUGAAGAUGUGCUCCUUGGUGAUGUCCAAGUGUACCCAGAAAAGGGGACUGUUGCAUUCUCUGCUGGUUUGCAUGGGUGGGCUUUCACCCUUACAAACUUUGCUAAGAUGUAUGCCUCCAAGUUUGGUGUUGAUGAGGUGAAGAUGAUGGAGAGGCUGUGGGGUGAGAACUUCUUUGACCCAGCCACAAAGAAAUGGACCACCAAGAACACUGGGACAGCUACCUGCAAGAGAGGUUUUGUUCAGUUCUGCUAUGAGCCAAUCAAGCAAAUCAUCGCCACCUGCAUGAAUGAUCAGAAGGAUAAGUUGUGGCCUAUGUUGAAGAAGCUUGGUGUGACCAUGAAGAAUGAUGAGAAGGACUUGAUGGGAAAGGCUCUCAUGAAGCGUGUGAUGCAGACUUGGCUGC
rnacentral:lncRNA from 1 species